CCUACGGGUGGCUGCAGUGGGGAAUAUUGGACAAUGGGCGAAAGCCUGAUCCAGCCAUGCCGCGUGUGUGAAGAAGGCCUUCGGGUUGUAAAGCACUUUCAGUGGGGAAGAAAGCCUUGGGGCUAAUACCCUCGAGGAAGGACAUCACCCACAGAAGAAGCACCGGCUAACUCCGUGCCAGCAGCCGCGGUAAUACGGAGGGUGCGAGCGUUAAUCGGAAUUACUGGGCGUAAAGCGCGCGUAGGCGGUCUGAUAAGCCGGUUGUGAAAGCCCCGGGCUCAACCUGGGAACGGCAUCCGGAACUGUCAGGCUAGAGUGCAGGAGAGGAAGGUAGAAUUCCCGGUGUAGCGGUGAAAUGCGUAGAGAUCGGGAGGAAUACCAGUGGCGAGGGCGGCCUUCUGGACUGACACUGACGCUGAGGUGCGAAAGCGUGGGUAGCAAACAGGAUUAGAUACCCUAGUAGUC
rnacentral:rRNA from 1 species